rnacentral:rRNA from 1 species
GAUGAACGCUGGCGGCGUGCCUAAUACAUGCAAGUCGAGCGAAGCGGGGACGGGUGAGUAACACGUGGAUAACCUCCUAUAAGACUGGGAUAACUUCGGGAAACCGGAGCUAAACCGGAUGCUUAUAGGUAGAUCCGCGGUGCAUUAGCUAGUUGGUAAGGUAACGGCUUACCAAGGCAACGAUGCAUAGCCGGCCUGAGAGGAUGAUCGGCCACACUGGAACUGAGACACGGUCCAGACUCCUACGGGAGGCAGCAGUAGGGAAUCUGCCGCAAUGGGCGAAAGCCUGAAGGAGCAAUGCCGCGUGAGUGAGGAAGGUCUUCGGAUCGUAAAACUCUGUUAGUAGGGAAGCGGUACCUAAACAGAAAGCCCCGGCUAACUACGUGCCAGCAGCCGCGGUAAUUC